AUUGAACGCUGGCGGCAUGCCUUACACAUGCAAGUCGAACGGCAGCGGACCUUCGGGUGCCGGCGAGUGGCGAACGGGUGAGUAAUGUAUCGGAACGUACCUUUCAGUGGGGGAUAACGUAGCGAAAGUUACGCUAAUACCGCAUAUUCUGUGAGCAGGAAAGCAGGGGAACGCAAGAACUUGCGCUGAUUGAGCGGCCGAUAUCAGAUUAGCUAGUUGGUGAGGUAAAGGCUCACCAAGGCGACGAUCUGUAGCGGGUCAGAGAGGAUGAUCCGCCACACUGGAACUGAGACACGGUCCAGACUCCUACGGGAGGCAGCAGUGGGGAAUUUUGGACAAUGGGGGCAACCCUGAUCCAGCCAUGCCGCGUGAGUGAAGAAGGCCUUCGGGUUGUAAAGCUCUUUCGUCCGGGAAGAAAUCGCAUCAGCUAAUACCUGGUGUGGAUGACGGUACCGGAAUAAGAAGCACCGGCUAACUACGUGCCAGCCGCCGCCGUAAAAC
rnacentral:rRNA from 1 species